UCCAAAAGAUCAGAGGAUCAGAGAGUCGGAGGAUUGGAGGAUCGGGUCGCAGCUGUUGCCGCUGGGCACACACCUUCAACUCGUUGAGGGUUUUUUGCAUCUCAGGCUCGUUCCGUUCCGUUUCGUAUCGUAUCGUUGCAGUUCGUGCGUGUUGCGUUUUAUAUGAAUAAUUGCAUCAAGAUUUUUGCCAACUCUUAACUCUUUUGCGGUCGACUGUGGCAGCUGCCCCAACGGCCCAACUGCACUGGACACAUCAUUUCUGUGGCCGUUUCAAGCAUUUCAUGUUUUUGUUACCCGCUCUUUUACGGUGAGGAAACACAGAAUUUUACAUAAUUUUGGCAUUGAAAGCGCUCCAAGAAUUACAAACUGGGCGAGAUGAAACAGAUGUGCAUUUGAAGAAAUGGGUAUCCUAAUAUGUUUCAUGGAUGGUGUCUUCGUAUAAAGCCGUAGCCGUCUUCACACAGAAACACGCACAUUUUUGGCAUUCAUAAAAUGUUGCAGCGAAACCAACAAACCAGAAGCAACAAAAAAAAAAUAAAAAAAAUAAAAAAAGCUAGAGAGGACACAAACGGGACAUGAAAUUGUUUUGCACAUAACAGCAAGCAAACAAACAUGAAAAGGGAUAUGGAUGCGGAUAAACGAAUAUGAUUGCCGCGGCAUGUGAAAAAAGCAUAACUGAAAUAUUCUUGCCGCUUAAAACAAACAGGCGUAAAAAAUGGAAACAGCCAAAGGAGCACGAA